rnacentral:rRNA from 1 species
GACGUAGGGGACGAGCGUUGUCCGGAUUCAUUGGGCGUAAAAGCGCGCGUAGGCGGUUACGCAAGUCGGUUGUGAAAAUCCGGGGCUCAACCCCGGACCUGCAUCCGAUACUGCGUGACUAGAGGUAGGUAGGGGAGAUCGGAAUUCCUGGUGUAGCGGUGAAAUGCGCAGAUAUCAGGAGGAACACCGGUGGCGAAGGCGGAUCUCUGGGCCGAUACUGACGCUGAGGUGCGAAAGCGUGGGGAGCAAACAGG